CUUGUGUUCUUUUGUGUGUUUGCUAGUAAUAUGGGAGCAUUCAGUCAUUACCAACAAAUGCAGUUAAUUGCCUUAAAAAACAAUUUGAGAGGAAAUGCUGUCAUUUGAAAGAAAACUUUCCUGUGUGUGCAGGUCAUUUCUCAAGAAUAUUUGGUGUCAGAUUUAAAAACUUGUCGAUGCCGAUCUCCAAAAUCACUCAAAUCUGGACGCUGAUUGUGAAAUAUAACUUUUGUUUCAUGGUUAUGCGUCACAACAUGCUAUGAUUUCAAGAUUGAACAAAUAAACAUAAUGUUGGAUGGUGUCCUCGUUGAAAACAUGUUCGACCUUCCUUAUGUGAAACCGAAUCAGGCUGGACCAGAAUUGAAUGCCUUCAUGGCACUUGUCUGCACAGAAGUAAAAAAGAUACUUCCUUCUUAGCCCGGUGGUGUACAAACACUUGCUGGAAAUAAUAAAAGUGCAUUAGCUGUUGCAGCAGCCACAGGUAAUUCCUAUUCUUUGCAUACUUGCCGGAACCAAUAUUGUGACUUCAUAAUAUAUUCAGUAAUUGUUUUCUGCCUGAAUUGUUUCCACUGUUAUUGCAUACUUAUUUAGUGAUACUAGUAUAUCUAUUUAAUAAAAUUUCUUUUAAUCUGUCCAAA